rnacentral:rRNA from 1 species
GAGGAAAGCUGGCGGCGUGCCUAAUACAUGCAAGUCGAGCGAACGGACGAGAAGCUUGCUUCUCUGAUGUUAGCGGCGGACGGGUGAGUAACACGUGGAUAACCUACCUAUAAGACUGGGAUAACUUCGGGAAACCGGAGCUAAUACCGGAUAAUAUUUUGAACCGCAUGGUUCAAAAGUGAAAGACGGUCUUGCUGUCACUUAUAGAUGGAUCCGCGCUGCAUUAGCUAGUUGGUAAGGUAACGGCUUACCAAGGCAACGAUGCAUAGCCGACCUGAGAGGGUGAUCGGCCACACUGGAACUGAGACACGGUCCAGACUCCUACGGGAGGCAGCAGUAGGGAAUCUUCCGCAAUGGGCGAAAGCCUGACGGAGCAACGCCGCGUGAGUGAUGAAGGUCUUCGGAUCGUAAAACUCUGUUAUUAGGGAAGAACAUAUGUGUAAGUAACUGUGCACAUCUUGACGGUACCUAAUCAGAAAGCCACGGCUAACUACGUG